AUAGCUUGCUAUUUUUAUGAAGAGCGGCGAACGGGUGAGUAACGCGUGGGAAAUCUGCCGAGUAGCGGGGGACAACGUUUGGAAACGAACGCUAAUACCGCAUAACAAUGAGAAUCGCAUGAUUCUUAUUUAAAAGAAGCAAUUGCUUCACUACUUGAUGAUCCCGCGUUGUAUUAGCUAGUUGGUAGUGUAAAGGACUACCAAGGCGAUGAUACAUAGCCGACCUGAGAGGGUGAUCGGCCACACUGGGACUGAGACACGGCCCAGACUCCUACGGGAGGCAGCAGUAGGGAAUCUUCGGCAAUGGGGGCAACCCUGACCGAGCAACGCCGCGUGAGUGAAGAAGGUUUUCGGAUCGUAAAACUCUGUUGUUAGAGAAGAACGUUAAGUAGAGUGGAAAAUUACUUAAGUGACGGUAUCUAACCAGAAAGGGACGGCUAACUACGUGCCAGCAGCCGCGGUAAUACGUAGGUCCCAAGCGUUGUCCGGAUUUAUUGGGCGUAAAGCGAGCGCAGGUGGUUUCUUAAGUCUGAUGUAAAAGGCAGUGGCUCAACCAUUGUGUGCAUUGGAAACUGGGAGACUUGAGUGCAGGAGAGGAGAGUGGAAUUCCAUGGUA
rnacentral:rRNA from 1 species